GACGAACGCUGGCGGCGUGCUUAACACAUGCAAGUCGAACGGAAAGGCCCUGCUUUUGUGGGGUGCUCGAGUGGCGAACGGGUGAGUAACACGUGAGUAACCUGCCCUUGACUUUGGGAUAACUUCAGGAAACUGGGGCUAAUACCGGAUAGGAGCUCCUGCUGCAUGGUGGGGGUUGGAAAGUUUCGGCGGUUGGGGAUGGACUCGCGGCUUAUCAGCUUGUUGGUGGGGUAGUGGCUUACCAAGGCUUUGACGGGUAGCCGGCCUGAGAGGGUGACCGGCCACAGUGGGACUGAGAUACGGCCCAGACUCCUACGGGAGGCAGCAGUGGGGAAUAUUGCACAAUGGGCGGAAGCCUGAUGCAGCAACGCCGCGUGCGGGAUGACGGCCUUCGGGUUGUAAUCCGCUUUCGCCUGUGACGAAGCGUGAGUGAAGGUAAUGGGUAAAGAAGCACCGGCUAACUACGUG
rnacentral:rRNA from 1 species